GACGAACGCUGGCGGCGUGCCUAAUACAUGCAAGUUGAGCGCUGAAGGUUGGUACUUGUACCAACUGGAUGAGCAGCGAACGGGUGAGUAACGCGUGGGGAAUCUGCCUUUGAUCGGGGGACAACAUUUGGAAACGAAUGCUAAUACCGCAUAAAAACUUUAAACACAAGUUUUAAGUUUGAAAGAUGCAAUUGCAUCACUCAAAGAUGAUCCCGCGUUGUAUUAGCUGGUUGGUGAGGUAAAGGCGCGCCAAGGCGAUGAUACAUAGCCGGCCUGGGAGGGUGAUCGGCCACAUUGGGACUUGGACACGGCCCAAACUCCUACGGGAGGCAGCAGUAGGGAAUCUUCGGCAAUGGACGAAAGUCUGACCGAGCAACGCCGCGUGAGUGAAGAAGGUUUUCGGAUCGUAAAACUCUGUUGGUAGAGAAGAACGUUGGUGAGAGUGGAAAGCUCAUCAAGUGACGGUAACUACCCAGAAAGGGACGGCUAACUACGUG
rnacentral:rRNA from 1 species